GGUAGAUAACAGCAGGACAAGGCGGAACCGUUCUAAGUUGAAAGAGGGAAGAUUUAGGUUGGAUGUUAGGGGGAAGUGCUUUACCAGGAGACUGGUGAGGUGCUGGAACAGCUGCCCAGAGAGGCUGUGGAUGCCCCGUCCAUCCCUGGAGGUGUUCAAGGCCAGGCUGGACGGGGCCCUGGGCAGCCUGGUCUAGUAAAUGGGGAGGUUGGUGGCCCUGCCUGGCAGGGGGGUUGGAGAUUCAUGAUCCUUGAGGUCCCUCCCAACCCAGGCCAUUCUGUGACUCUGAUUCUGUGGGUCAGGUCUCCAGGGACGGAGCAUCCACGGCAUCUCUGUGCAACCUGUGCCAGUGCCUCACCACCCCCCCUGCAGAAGAUUCUGUCCCUGUGGCCAACCUAAAUCUCCCCUCUUGGAGCUGGAAACCACAUUGACACAUUCGUCAGUUUUUGAGCAGGAAAUAAGAGCGGCGCAUGCGCAGUACGACCAGGAGGACUUCUUACCAUAGAGAUGGCGGGGCUGACGGCACGGAG
ensembl:lncRNA